GGAUAACACUUAGAAAUAGGUGCUAAUACCGCAUAAGCGCACAGCUUCGCAUGAAGGAGUGUGAAAAACUGAGGUGGUAUAUGAUGGAUCCGCGUCUGAUUAGCCAGUUGGUGAGGUAACGGCUCACCAAAGCGACGAUCAGUAGCCGGCCUGAGAGGGCGGACGGCCACAUUGGGACUGAGACACGGCCCAGACUCCUGCGGGAGGCAGCAGUGGGGGAUAUUGCACAAUGGGGGAAACCCUGAUGCAGCGACGCCGCGUGAGUGAAGAAGUAAUUCGUUACGUAAAGCUCUAUCAGCAGGGAAGAAAAUGACGGUACCUGACUAAGGAGCCCCGGCUAACUACGUGCCAGCAGCCGCGGUAAUACGUAGGGGGCAAGCGUUAUCCGGAAUUACUGGGUGUAAAGGGAGCGCAGACGGCAGUGCAAGUCUGGAGUGAAAGCCCGUGGCUUAACCACGGGACUGCUCUGGAAACUGUGCAGCUAGAGUGCAGGAGAGGCAGGCGGAAUUCCUAGUGUAGCGGUGAAAUGCGUAGAUAUUAGGAGGAACACCGGUGGCGAAGGCGGCCUGCUGGACUGUAACUGACGUUGAGGCUCGAAAGCGUGGGGAGCAAACAGGAUUAGAUACCCUGGUAGUCCACGCCGUAAACGAUGAUUACUAGGUGUCGGGGGACGAUAGUGCUCCGGUGCCGGCG
rnacentral:rRNA from 1 species